UGGUGGAAGUGGCGAAGGGUGAGUUCAGGGAUGCACGGAGGGGUCAGACUGUCCGUCACACUGCAGACAGGGAUGAAGACUGACAAUCCCCAUAAUCUGAUCUUGAAAACAGAUUAAUGAGCCUCCUGUCCACACUUGAGAACAGAUCACAGUUUCGCCUGGCCAGGGUUCGAAAGGUUAAGCUGAUCUUAACUGGUCAGACAAAGAGACUCGCUCCCGAACCAGGCCCUACGUGUAAUUAGGUAGGUCAAGUCACUUCCUGAAAAGGUGUUGGAGGACAAAUGUCAUGCCCUCUCUCACCGAUGUCACAUGGACAAUCACUUUUACAAAUUUCCAGAUCGUCAGCCGUCCUGCAUCUCUUCUCCAGGUUGUGCUUGUUGCUGUCGUUAGCGAGCACGGCUUGGUAGCCCUCGGACUUGGGGAUGUUUUCCCACACUGGCCAGCAGAAGUAAAUUACACUGAUCAGCCAUUUUUACAGCCUGUGAAAGAGGUCUAAGUGGAAUACCUACUGGCCGUGCCUUCAAGCCCGCGGCGAGGAGAUUUAUGGCGUUUGUGAAGAGAGCAGCCUCCACCCAGCUGCCGAGGGAGUCACGGGAAUCAGGGCCUGGCUGGGGCUCCCCCCAUGCGUCCCCGGAGCAAUGCAGCUGUGGCGGACUGUGGGGCCUGCUCCGCUGGGGAGUCCCAGGUUCGCAGACUGGGGGGGGGGCGGCAGGGUUCCCCCAGAGUGACCCACCCACCACCCGGUAAUCGUGUCACCGUCAUAUGGUCACAUCUGACGAGCAGUGCCACAUACCCUGCAGGUGAACACUCACAGAUUAUACCUAUGCUAAUGGCACAAAAAAAUGGUAGCUGUAUUUUUGAGCCAAAAACAGGUCGGUAUUUCCAUACCAGUUGGAUGUGAGCUUACACUGAAUAGGGAAAUACUGGGGAAAUAAUCAUCACAUGUACAGGUGGAUUUGAGUCCAACAUGCACCAGCUCAGUGGGUCUUACUUAGAGAACCGUGUCUUGUAGCAUCAAAACUGCGAGAAUUUCUCACAUGAUGGGAAUGAUAUAAAAAUGACGGAACUCAGUUUUUGUGUCAGUUUUUUAAUUCACAUUGUUUAACCCCCAAAACCAAAACAAACACUGCUAUGUGCAGGAUAUGGGUUAUUUAUAGAAGUCAUUAAGAAGGAAAUAUAGAGAUCAAUUCCUUUAAAUGUAUGUAUAUAUGUUUUAUAAUGCUGAAGCUUGCAUGCACUGACCUCCCAUUUCCUUUCCCUCUGACCCGCUGCACCCGGGUGUCUGGGUGACCUGAAUGCCCCCGAAUGGAAGCGAUGUGAGAGGCACUGGCCAUGCAGGGUGACCUAAAGCGACCAAAAGUUCUGCUACAUGCGUCUCUUUCACUCCCGCGUUCCGCGCCAUGACCGUGGAGGAGCCCAGGCUGCACCUGCUCUGCGUUCAGCUAUGUCUGGAGGCUGCUCAUUCUGUCAAAGAUAGUAGAUGAGGAACCCCUGCCCCCCCCGCCCCGAUUGCAUUGGAAAUGGAUUGUCUGCUAACUGGACAGCAAGGCUGAUCCUCCCUUUUUUGGAUGGUUGCCGUAGUAAGGUGCCGUGGCCUUGCUUUUGGAAGGAGGAGUCCUGAUUAAAGCGGAGCAGGGAUAUGCACAUGUUUGACACAGACCCUCCGCAUACUAAACAGACCCGCAGCACUCCAAACAGGAAGUGACUUAAUCCAGAUGGGAAACCGAAGGGCAGGUCACCUCCACUGCUGACAGGUGACAGCAGGCAGCCCCGACAUAUCCUCUCCUGUCUACACAUGGGACAAUUUGUCGUGAAUAAAUCAACUUUUCGCUGAUUUAUCUGUGGUCAACUGGAGACAGGCCCCUCAACGACGACCCAAUAAGCAGGACCGGCAUUGUACAGCAUGUACGGGAAGUACGGCUCACGAGAUUACCGAAGUGUCACGAGAUUUUUGCCUUUAAUUAAAUGCUGCCCGACACUCUUACUCACUGAAGUCACGGAUAGCCCAAUUAUGGCUACUGGCUAUUGUAAACAUGGAAAUACUUGUACAAGUGUUUUGAUUCUGCGGACCUGUCAACAUGACUGUUUUGAUUGGGAGGGAUAAGAGCACCUUGGACACUGAGAUUAAAGGAUUUCAGAAGAAUGUAAAUCCAGGUCGUCACGUGGGGACCGAAGCAGAAUGGGACACAUUGAAAUCACAUACUGCAUUAAACUGUGUGGCUGAAAAAUUUAAUUUAAUGUACAGCUUUCACAUGGAUUACAUCUGACUAAAGCCGUUUUAGGAUGCUCCUUAUGAAUGAAUUUUAAAGCAUGAAAUUAUGUUAAAAGAUAUGAGACACACACAAACACACACGUUUGUAUACCUUCCAUUCAUUUCUAUGGGCAAAACCCUAAUCCCAACAAUGACACCCUAACCCCUACCCAGCCCUAAAAUGAACCAUAACUAACCAAACAAAACACAAGUCUUUUGGCAUUUUUAGUUUUUUGAUUGCAUUCCCAGACUUUUAUAGAAUUGGAUGUUCCCCCACAACGUCAAAUUAACGGGUUUUUAUCACAAUGUGGGGACAUUUGGUCCCCACAAUGUAAUAUACUGUAUACAUAACACAGACACACACCCACACAGUGACACCCACGCAGUGACACCCAUGCAGUGACACCCACGCAGUUCACUCACAGGCUGUCACAUAUCAA